CUUUCUUCCUUCUCUGUGCGACUUUCUUCUCCGUUCGAAGAAAGCCUAGCAAAAAAAUUCACUUUACCAGCCGGCAGCCACUGAGUCUGACUGAUUUAGAUCUACACCCUCACUCCGUUCGUCGCCGACGCCGUUGCUCGCCGCAUCUGUGAGACUCCAUCGCCAUCGCCAUCGCCUUAACAAGUCCCAAGUCCCAAGUCCCAAAUCGAAGCUACUCUCUGCCUCUCCGGCCUCCGCCAGUCCGCCGCGCUCUACGUCUCCUGUCGGCUGUGUCCUGCCGUGCUAGUUCAUCGCUGCCGAGUGUCGAAGACGAAGCACCAAGAUCUCACUAGUUCAUCGCUGGUUCAUCACUGCUCAUCUCUGGCUCACUUAGUAUCCCGCCGCCCUCGAACUGUACUCGGACGAGACAAUUUUGAACGUAGAUUGAAUGGCGUAUUCUUUUCUGACUCGGGCAACCAAGAAAUUUAGUAGUAAAACUCAUGGAAAUGCUAGCUAGGAAGUUCAUGGCCAACCAGUUGUCAAGAACCAUGGCAUUGCAAUCGAAUCAAGAACCAACACACCCACGAACCCCCGGCCGUCGCCAACAAAAACAAAAACAGAAAAAAAAGGGGAAUAAUGGAAUAGGUAGCGGGACGGCAAUGAAUCAGUUGUGCAGCCUUUAAAAGUUAAGGCCUUGGGGAAAAAGUUAAUGUCUCCCCUUCCCAUUGUAAACAAAAAGGGAAAGUGAGUUGGUUUGUUUUAUAUAUUCCUCUUGUUUUCUUCAGUAGAAUGAUGCCAUUCCCUUAUACCACUAGUUUGUGUGUUAAUUUAUUGCUUAUAUCAGUACUAGUUCCAUGUUAACAUAUUAGGAUUUAAGAUUCUGUUUCGUUUUCACUGGUCUGUCUUGUAAUACUUCAUCUGAUCACAAGACUAUAUAUGGUGACACGAUACAGAGUUUGAUAUUGAAUUCUUCAAAAUUUGUUGGAAAGU